rnacentral:rRNA from 1 species
AGAAGCACCGGCUAACUACGUGCCAGCAGCCGCGGUAAUACGUAGGGUGCGAGCGUUGUCCGGAAUUACUGGGCGUAAAGAGCUCGUAGGUGGUCUGUCGCGUCAUUUGUGAAAGCCCGGGGCUUAACUCCGGGUUGGCAGGUGAUACGGGCAUGACUGGAGUACUGUAGGGGAGACUGGAAUUCCUGGUGUAGCGGUGAAAUGCGCAGAUAUCAGGAGGAACACCGGUGGCGAAGGCGGGUCUCUGGGCAGUAACUGACGCUGAGGAGCGAAAGCAUGGGUAGCGAACAGGAUUAGAUACCCUGGUAGUCCAUGCCGUAAACGGUGGGCGCUAGGUGUGGGUUUCCUUCCACGGGAUCCGUGCCGUAGCUAACGCAUUAAGCGCCCCGCCUGGGGAGUACGGCCGCAAGGCUAAAACUCAAAGGAAUUGACGGGGGCCCGCACAAGCGGCGGAGCAUGUGGAUUAAUUCGAUGCAACGCGAAGAACCUUACCUGGGCUUGACAUACACCGGAUCGGGCUAGAGAUAGUCUUUCCCUUGUGGCUGGUGUACAGGUGGUGCAUGGUUGUCGUCAGCUCGUGUCGUGAGAUGUUGGGUUAAGUCCCGCAACGAGCGCAACCCUUGUCUCGUGUUGCCAGCAUUUGGUUGGGGACUCGCGGGAGACUGCCGGGGUUAACUCGGAGGAAGGUGGGGAUGACGUCAAAUCAUCAUGCCCCUUAUGUCCAGGGCUUCACACAUGCUACAAUGGUCGGUACAACGCGCAGCGACACUGUGAGGUGGAGCGAAUCGCUGAAAGCCGGCCUUAGUUCGGAUUGGGGUCUGCAACUCGACCCCAUGAAGUCGGAGUCGCUAGUAAUCGCAGAUCAGCAAUGCUGCGGUGAAUACGUUCCCGGGCCUUGUACACACCGCCCGUCACGUCAUGAAAGUUGGUAACACCCGAAGCCGGUGGCCCAAACUUGUUAGGGAGCCGUCGAAGGUGGGAUCGGCGAUUGGGACGAAGUCGUAACAAGGUACCCGUACCGGAAGGUGCGGGUG